UUUUUUUAGGUAAAACUAUUGAAAUAUUCUUCUAAAGGGGUGAAAUGUAGAUAUCUCGAACUAUUGUGUGGUAAAAUUAGCGAGAAAUUAAAGUUUCAAGCUGAAACCGCCUUAAUCCACACCUGACAACAAUCUACAGAUAGACGGGCGGACAGACGGACGCAAAGUGAGACGAGACAGAUCACAAUUGCUCACCUGACCAAUAUAAUUUUCAAACGAAAAUUUCUACUUUUACCAGCGAUUUUUAAUUGUCCUUUCAUACUAUCUGUUUUUUACUUUUAUGAUUUUCGGAGGUCGUGCCAGACUUCACUGUGUUCGCCACAAACAACUAAAACCAGAAUGAGAUGCAUUUACGCAGUUAUAUUUAUUUUCUUGGGAUCCCAAGCAUACAGUAAUACGGUACAGAAUUCGGCUAAAUAUUUAGGUUGCAAGUGAGAAAUAAAUAUAGACACAGAGAAACAAAUUAAUAAACUAACCUUUCGCUUGAAACAGUAUUUCUAUCUUUCAUUACGCCGGGAUAUUAUAAAAGAAUCACCGGUAAAAGAAUCUCACUGUUUUCUUGACCGUGUCAUGAUGAAAUUGUGAAAGUGAGUAAGGGAUGUUUUGGAACUUCGAUUAUCAAACAAAUUGAUUAUAAAAACCGCAAAUACAAUGUAACAUUUGUUUUUACUUUAACUGCUAAAAACCUAUUAUAUUUGUCAUCAAACGCAGCUCCGCGUUUGACACCUUCCUUUGAAGUUAUUUAUAGAACUUUAAUA
rnacentral:lncRNA from 1 species